AGCUCUGGUGGCCUAGUGGUUAGAAUGUCCACCUUGCAUGCAGAAGGCUGUGGGUUCGAUCCCUGGUCGAGUCA